UACGGAGGGUGCGAGCGUUGUCCGGAAUCACUGGGCGUAAAGGGCGCGUAGGCGGCAGGCCAAGCGUGUGGUGAAAGCCCGGGGCUCAACCCCGGGUCGGCCAUGCGGACUGGCGUGCUUGAGCACUGUAGGGGCGGGUGGAAUUCCGGGUGUAGCGGUGGAAUGCGUAGAGAUCCGGAAGAACACCGGUGGCGAAGGCGGCAUCCUGGCCCUGUCCUGACGCUCAGGGGCGAAAGCGUGGGGAGCAAACCGG
rnacentral:rRNA from 1 species